rnacentral:lncRNA from 1 species
GAAAGGCAGAGAUUACUUAAACUUCAUUCCACUCAUAUGAAGUUAUGAGGGGAUCCAGAAAAAGGCGACUGCUCGUUCACCAUCAUCAACGCUGGACUCGAUGACUGGGGCCAGUACUACUUUAGAAUUGAUAAAGGAGAGAGCUACAGAUACUCCUUUAAUCCUUCCAGUUCUCAAACUCACACUAAUCCUCAGGUUGUGCUGACAGAUCUGAAGAAGCCCAAAAUCAUAAAGCCACAUGAAGUGAUUUGGGAGAAGCCAGCCACUUUCAGAUGUACAGCAGCAGAAAUGUGCCCAGGGACUAAGCCCCAAAUCACCUGGCCUACACAACAUAUCCAUGGAAUACUCAACAGAGCAAUUGGAGCUCGACCUAUGGAGUUGACAUCACCUUCAAGCCCAGCUUAGCUGAUGAUGGCAUAGUCCUUACCUGCAGCAUCAAAUACCAUUUCUUGAAGAAAGCAGUCCACGUAGCCACCCGCCUUUCCUUUGGCUAUAGGCCUACAGCCAGCACCAUCCUGCCUAAUGCUACAUGUGAGAAUGAGGACCGAGGCCACCGUUACACCUGUUCUUUCCACUGCUGGCCUCCACCAACACUUACGUGGGAAGUGGACGGGGUAACCGUCACUGGGAACAGAGGAACGGAAACACAAGUGACAUGGAGGUCUUACAGUGGGCUGAGGGCAAUGCGGCGAGCAGCACCCUGCUGUGGAAAGGAGCCUCCAUUGACCACCAUGACCCCUUCAUCACCUGCACGGCAACCAACCCCUUUGGGAAGCAGACAAUGGUGA